GCUCAAUAUGCUGAUAUGGAAGGAAAUUUCAUUAAAAGGCAAGUUACAGAAGAGCCUGGACCAUGCAGUUGGCUCAUCAGGUAGACAUUAACUUCUGCAAUGUGCUGGAUGCUGUGUUAAGUAUACAGGCAUAAAUUUUCCCCUUGUAGGAAGACACCUGAAAUUGACCUACCUGGAACCACCAUCUAUAUUCUGGGAUACUGUGCUUCAGUCUUUUAGAAACUCUUUGAGUUACCAGAAAUUGGAGCAUUAUGGUAACAAUUUUGAAGCAAGUUCCAUCAUGUUAAAGCAAAG